UACGUAGGGUCCGAGCGUUGUCCGGAAUUAUUGGGCGUAAAGGGCUCGUAGGCGGUUUGUCGCGUCGGGAGUGAAAACACGGGGCUUAACCCCGUGCCUGCUUCCGAUACGGGCAGACUAGAGGUAUGCAGGGGAGAACGGAAUUCCUGGUGUAGCGGUGAAAUGCGCAGAUAUCAGGAGGAACACCGGUGGCGAAGGCGGUUCUCUGGGCCUUUCCUGACGCUGAGACGCGAAAGCGUGGGGAGCGAACCGG
rnacentral:rRNA from 1 species